AUGAACGCUAGCUACAGGCUUAACACAUGCAAGUCGAGGGGCAGCAUGGUCUUAGCUUGCUAAGGCCGAUGGCGACCGGCGCACGGGUGAGUAACACGUAUCCAACCUGCCGUCUACUCUUGGACAGCCUUCUGAAAGGAAGAUUAAUACAAGAUGGCAUCAUGAGUCCGCAUGUUCACAUGAUUAAAGGUAUUCCGGUAGACGAUGGAGAUGCGUUCCAUUAGAUAGUAGGCGGGGUAACGGCCCACCUAGUCUUCGAUGGAUAGGGGUUCUGAGAGGAAGGUCCCCCACAUUGGAACUGAGACACGGUCCAAACUCCUACGGGAGGCAGCAGUGAGGAAUAUUGGUCAAUGGGCGAGAGCCUGAACCAGCCAAGUAGCGUGAAGGAUGACUGCCCUAUGGGUUGUAAACUUCUUUUAUAAAGGAAUAAAGUCGGGUAUGGAUACCCGUUUGCAUGUACUUUAUGAAUAAGGAUCGGCUAACUCCGUGCCAGCAGCCGCGGUAAUACGGAGGAUCCGAGCGUUAUCCGGAUUUAUUGGGUUUAAAGGGAGCGUAGAUGGAUGUUUAAGUCAGUUGUGAAAGUUUGCGGCUCAACCGUAAAAUUGCAGUUGAUACUGGAUAUCUUGAGUGCAGUUGAGGCAGGCGGAAUUCGUGGUGUAGCGGUGAAAUGCUUAGAUAUCACGAAGAACUCCGAUUGCGAAGGCAGCCUGCUAAGCUGCAACUGACAUUGAGGCUCGAAAGUGUGGGUAUCAAACAGGAUUAGAUACCCUGGUAGUCCACACGGUAAACGAUGAAUACUCGCUGUUUGCGAUAUACUGCAAGCGGCCAAGCGAAAGCGUUAAGUAUUCCACCUGGGGAGUACGCCGGCAACGGUGAAACUCAAAGGAAUUGACGGGGGCCCGCACAAGCGGAGGAACAUGUGGUUUAAUUCGAUGAUACGCGAGGAACCUUACCCGGGCUUAAAUUGCAGAUGAAUUACGGUGAAAGCCGUAAGCCGCAAGGCAUCUGUGAAGGUGCUGCAUGGUUGUCGUCAGCUCGUGCCGUGAGGUGUCGGCUUAAGUGCCAUAACGAGCGCAACCCUUGUUGUCAGUUACUAACAGGUUCCGCUGAGGACUCUGACAAGACUGCCAUCGUAAGAUGUGAGGAAGGUGGGGAUGACGUCAAAUCAGCACGGCCCUUACGUCCGGGGCUACACACGUGUUACAAUGGGGGGUACAGAGGGCCGCUACCACGCGAGUGGAUGCCAAUCCCAAAAACCUCUCUCAGUUCGGACUGGAGUCUGCAACCCGACUCCACGAAGCUGGAUUCGCUAGUAAUCGCGCAUCAGCCACGGCGCGGUGAAUACGUUCCCGGGCCUUGUACACACCGCCCGUCAAGCCAUGGGAGCCGGGGGUACCUGAAGUGCGUAACCGCGAGGAGCGCCCUAGGGUAAAACUGGUGACUGGGGCU
rnacentral:rRNA from 1 species